GCCGGAGUUCCGUAAAGUCAAGGCUUUCGGAAGAGUGUCUUGUAAAUUCAGUAACCUACCGGCGGCGGAAAAAUGCCCGCAGCGGAUCAUUCGGCGGUCGCGUUGUGUUGUCGUCGGUUAUGAAAAACCAAUCUGCGGCGGGGUUUGUCCCUUUUGGGAAUCCUCCGCCUCAUUUAGCAAGUGGUUACUUUCUAU
rnacentral:ncRNA from 1 species